rnacentral:rRNA from 1 species
GAUCAUGGCUCAGAUUGAACGCUGGCGGCAUGCUUUACACAUGCAAGUCGAACGGCAGCGCGGGCUUCGGCCUGGCGGCGAGUGGCGAACGGGUGAGUAAUAUAUCGGAACGUACCCAAGAGUGGGGGAUAACGUAGCGAAAGUUACGCUAAUACCGCAUACGAUCUAAGGAUGAAAGCAGGGGAUCGCAAGACCUUGUGCUCCUGGAGCGGCCGAUAUCUGAUUAGCUAGUUGGUGGGGUAAAGGCCCACCAAGGCAACGAUCAGUAGCUGGUCUGAGAGGACGACCAGCCACACUGGAACUGAGACACGGUCCAGACUCCUACGGGAGGCAGCAGUGGGGAAUUUUGGACAAUGGGCGCAAGCCUGAUCCAGCAAUGCCGCGUGAGUGAAGAAGGCCUUCGGGUUGUAAAGCUCUUUUGUCAGGGAAGAAAAGGUUGUGGCUAAUAUCCACAACUGCUGACGGUACCUGAAGAAUAAGCACCGGCUAACUACGUG